rnacentral:rRNA from 1 species
GAUGAACGCUGGCGGCGUGCCUAAUACAUGCAAGUCGAGCGGACAGACGAGGAGCUUGCGCCGCGGACGUUAGGCGAGGGCGGGUGAGUAACACGUGUAUAACCUACCUAUAAGACGGGGAUAACCACGGGAAACCGGAGCUAAUAGCGGAGAAUAUAUUGAACCACGGGGGUGAAUGGUGAGAUACGGUGGUGGGGGCAGGUAUAGAUGGAUCUGAGCCGGUUGGGCUAGUUGUUAAGGUAACGGCUUACCAAGGCGACGAUGCGUAGCCGACCUGAGAGGGUGAUCGGCCACACUGGAACGGAGCCACGGUCCAGACUCCUACGGGAGGCAGCAGUAGGGAAUCUUCCGCAAUGGGCGAAAGCCUGACGGAGCAACGCCGCGUGAGUGAUGAAGGUCUUCGGAUCGUAAAACUCUGUUAUUAGGGAAGAACCAAUGUGUAAGUAACUAUGCACGUAUUGACGGUACCGAAUCAGAAAGCCACGGCUAACUACGUG